CAGGGAGACAACAAAAUGUAAAUAUUAAUUUUGUCACCUUAGGUCGAUCGGUAUCUCAGAUUCUUAAUUUUUAAGAAUUUCAGUUUCUAAGUUUUUUCUAGGUCACACCCAUCACUUUUUCCUGGGCCAUUAGCUCAGGUGGUUAGAGCGCACCCCUGAUAAGGGUGAGGUCCCUGGUUCAAGUCCAGGAUGGCCCAUAUCUCUAUGUUGGGGGUAUAGCUCAGUUGGUAGAGCGCCUGCUUUGCAAGCAGGAUGUCAGCGGUUCGAGUCCGCUUACCUCCACUGAAUACCGCCUCUUACAUAUAUAAGGAGGGAAAUUUUUUUGAGUCGUGUCCUAUUUUGCUCUGAGCGAAUCUAGCUUCCUAUUUUUAUUUAGUAAAUAAGAUGCUGGACUCAUUGAAUUAUUAUUCAUUGUUUUCAGAGAACCUUGACAACUGCAUAGAUUAUUUUUGAAGACAAUAAGCAUCUUUAAUGAUGCAGAUUUAUUAUUUGUGCGAAUGCAUUAAAUAACAAUUCUAUUAAGCUGAUGCUUCAAUUAUUGAAGUUAUU
rnacentral:tRNA from 1 species